GACGAACCGUGCGAACGUUGUUCGGAAUCACUGGGCAUAAAGGGCGCGUAGGCGGGCCGUAAAGUCAGGGGUGAAAUCCUCCAGCUUAACUGGAGAACUGCCUUUGAUACUGACGGUCUCGAGUGAGGUAGGGGCGUGUGGAACUGAUGGUGGAGCGGUGAAAUGUGUUGAUAUCAUCAGGAACUCCGGUGGCGAAAGCGACACGCUGGACCUCUACUGACGCUGAGGCGCGAAAGCCAGGGGAGCAAACGGG
rnacentral:rRNA from 1 species